UAAAGAAACUAGAAAAUGUCUCUGUUAGUGGUUAAAGUCAAUGAAUGUUUAGAAUUGUUGGUCAAUGGUCACAUCUGUAUACAUUAUUCAGAUUGAGGGACUGCUGGUUGUCAGAGAUCAGCUGUGCUUCUCUGGCCUCAGCUCUGAAGUCCAACCCCUCCCAUCUGACAGAGCUGAACCUGAUUGACAACAAGCUGCAGGAUUCAGCAGUGAAGCCUCUGUCUGAUCUUGUGGAGAGUCCACACUGCAGUCUGCAGACUCUGAGGUGGAAGAUGUGAUCUCUGUCAGAGUGUGAGUGGUGAGAAAGGUGUUUGUGUUGAGAGAGGAUCAGCUGAGUCCUGAUGAUCCAGAGAGGUUGAAGCAGCAGCAUCAGCUCUGACUGGGCCAUGUUACUGGGAGGUGCAGUGGAGAGGAGAGCUUCAUCCAGCAGAGACUGACGGAGGAAUCACAACAAGUGGAGAUGACUGUCAGCGCUGCAGUCUGAACUGCUCUGAGAUCAGCUCCACUGUCAGACACAAAGUCCACCAUCAUCAUGUGUGUUUCUCUGGAUCAUGUGACAUUCUUCAUUCAUUCAUAACUGAACCCAAAGAGCUUCUACAGAUUAGUUCAGUUCAUGACAACAUAACUGCUUUGCUUUCUGUUGCAGCUCCAUCCUGUGGACUGAUGGAGAACUGCAGUUAAUGUCCACAUUUAGUUCUGUUUAUUAGCAUCAAUAACAGACGUUUGUCCCAGUUUAACAGAUGAUUUUUGGACAGAAACAAGAAGAUCAAACCUGUAGAAAGUUUGGAUUGAAUCGAAGCUUCACUGGCGUCUACAAACUGAAUUCUGACUCUAAACUUAAAUAUCAUUGUUAUUGAUAUCUUGAUAUAUCUAUCUACCAUGAUAUCUUCAUCAGUCGUCUUUCUGCGUUCGAAAGUUUGACGUCUUGGAGAUCGUGUGUCUGAGAAACAUGACAUGUGUUUUGGGGGUUGCACAGUGGAGAUGCCUUAGGUCCAUUAUUAUUCUCACUGUACAUGCUGCCACUUAGUGACAUCAUUAGAGAGCACAAUGUAUGUUUCCAUAAUUGCAGAUGACACGCGACUGUACGUCACAGCUGAACCAAAUGAUGCUGCAGCUAUAAACUCCAUUACUACCUGUCUGUAGUCAAGAAAUAAAUGGAUGAGAGACAAUUUCUUCAAGUUAAACGGAGGACAAAACUGAAACCCUACUAGUCGAGCCUAAAACAAAUAGAAAAAUGAUGUUAAUGAUAAUAAUCUAGAAGAAAUCAACUCUCUGGAUUAAAUCUGAGUUUUACAAAUCUUGGUUAUCCUAGAUUCAGGUCAAAGAUUCAAGUCCCACAUUAACAAGAACGACCAUUUAUUAAUCAAAAAGAUGCUGAAAAACUGACUGAAACAAAAAACACUGAGAGACUUCAGCUCAAAAUCAGGAUGCAGCCUUUGUCAAUGACGGGCCAAAGUUAUUGAACACACUGCCUGCCUGCAGGGAAGCCAGCUCGCUAAAUAUUUAGAAAAGAAAGUUCAAAACGUCUCUCUUCACUUCAGCCGUUAGCUCACUCUGACUUUCCUGAUACAGGCCUGAAACUCCUUUCUGUACUUUGCUUCACACUCAUGCACUUCUUUAAAAUGUGUUUUAACUCAGUUUAUGCUUUUUUCGUAAUCCAUCUUUGAACUUUCAUUGUUAUUAUUCAGUGGUUUAUUUCCCAUCUUCUGUCACAUUAAUAAUGGCAUUCUCUCCCAGUUUUUAGGUUUAUUUCCAUGUUAAGCACUCGGUUCAUGUGAUUUCUGUGUUGUAAACCACUUUGCUCUACAUGUCUUUAAUUUUUAUACAAAGUUUAUUAGCAAUGGGAAGAACAAGGUCAUUAUAGUUUAAAUGCACUCUGACCAGGUUUCAGAAACCUGAUAUCAGGUUUGUCUCUUUGACUGAGUCUGAGUCUAACUGACAGCAUCGAACAAAUUUGACUUAUCACAAAACAACAAUUAGUUUCAAGUGGCGUUAAAUAUGUAAAAGUAUUUUUUCACGUGGUUCAACAUUGUUAGGAAACAUAUCCUGCAGUUUGUAAUGAAUAAAAAAAUCUGAUUUAUAAUCUGA